rnacentral:lncRNA from 1 species
AUCCCAGCUUUAAGGUCGGACAUUGGACGUAGAGGUACUUCCCCUUCCAGUUAUGAAUAGAAGAGAGAGCAUCUUUCAGCAACCCCUUUUUGCCGAACUGGGGGGAGAAGUACCACCAGUCCUUCGUCGAGGGAUGGCGCUUGAAGGUGUAAAAAUACCUAAACAAAGGAAGAGAUGGCUGAACUUCGACUACGUGGCAAAGGGAGAGGAACCCUAUCAAAAACCUAAAAGAGUUCGGCGUGACUGAAGCUAAAGAAAUAUCUA